UAAUACGGAGGGUGCAAGCGUUGUUCGGAAUUAUUGGGCGUAAAGCGCGUGUAGGCGGUCUUUUAAGUCUGAUGUGAAAGCCCCGGGCUCAACCUGGGAAGUGCAUUGGAAACUGGGAGGCUUGAGUACGGGAGAGGAGAGUGGAAUUCCUAGUGUAGGAGUGAAAUCCGUAGAUAUUAGGAGGAACACCGGUGGCGAAGGCGGCUCUCUGGACCGAUACUGACGCUGAGACGCGAAAGCGUGGGUAGCAAACAGGAUUAGAUACCCUGGUAGUCCACGCCGUAAACGAUGAGUACUAGGUGUUGCGGGUAUUGACCCCUGCAGUGCCGUAGCUAACGCAUUAA
rnacentral:rRNA from 1 species